rnacentral:ribozyme from 1 species
CGAACCACGUCGUCUGGUUCUGCCGGGCCCUCUCCGCG